rnacentral:lncRNA from 1 species
UCUUCUAGGGUUUUUGUUUUCAUAUCUUUCCUCCCUCCAUCUUGAGUUUCCUGAGAGUGUCUCAGAUCUAAAACUCCUCCUUCAACUUUCUAUCUUUGGAUGAGUCCAAAUCAAGAAGAAGGAGGCACCUGAUCAACCAUCAAAGAAGGAUCAGCGCAGUACUAGCAUACUGUGCUGAUUUCCUGAAGCAGGACUUCUGAUCGAGAUUCGUGGGCUCGUGUGGAUGAAUCCUAGAGGCCGGACACGUGUGCGGCUUGCAACAUCAUCCUUAAGCCCGGAUCAGCGAGGUUAGAGCAUCUAACUUGCAAGGUAAUAGAUCUGAUCUAUAGUUUAAUACGUACAUUAGAUGUGGUAUAAAAACAUGUUGAUAUGAUCAACAUGUAGUUCAUGCUAUAUUUAUAUAUUUUAAUUUUUGAUUUAAUACUAUGUAAUAAUCAUGUAAUAGGAUCUUAGAUCUAGAGAUUUUCUGAUUUUAAAAAAUAAAUUUUGAUUUAUUUUAGUCUUCCGCUGUAUGAUCUUGAAAAAGUUUCAAGAUCUAACCCUGAAACCCU